rnacentral:lncRNA from 1 species
CUAAUAGUAUGGCAGGCUAAAUUUGGGGGACAUCAAAAGGAAGUUAGAAUAAGGUUAGUCACUCAUUAUGCAAAUAUUUUGAGUAAGUACUGGCCAUGUGCUAGACACUGUUGAGACCUCUAAGGUUACAAUAUUCCUGCCCUCUUGCAGUUAAUUAAUAUGAAAGAUCACUGAAAAAUGAACUGAAACCAGGAUAUAUAUGACAGGAUGACAGAUUUCACGAAGGUAACAUAGUGAUAUUCUUCUGACUUGUAUUCAUUUAAAAAUCAGAUUACAGAAUUUUCCUAAAUAUGAAAAUAGCAUCAGAUAUAAUUAGGAUGGCUGAUUAUUGCUCUGGGCAGUACAGGUCAUGGCAUUCUGUGUAACUUCAUGAAUUUAAUUUAACAAAUGGCAGUGGUGGUGUUUGGGAACAGGGGUUAUGUUGUUCCUGCUUGGCCUUUUUAACAGAGGCCAACAUUGAAGAGUCUGGAGUUUCCAAUGACAUAAAUUGGUGCCAUUUUUAAGCAGUAGUAAGUCCUUCUUUGCCAAAGCAUGGGUCUCAGGUGGAAACCUGUGAUGGAAAGUGUAAUUCAAACCUAUGAAAUUAGGUGCUACAUAGUCAUUGCUUUUGAUUAUAAACAUGUCAUCUGAGAAGGCAGUUGGAAUUUUUAUUCCUGGAGAGCUUUGCAUCCGAUCACAUUUCCACUUCAAAGACAGAUUUAAGGGAAUGAUUUUAUCUCAACCUGUUUGAAUGCUACCCCCUGUUAAAGAGCUAAGGAUUUUCCUUUUAAGUUAUAAAAUAAGCUUUUUGAAAAAAGAUAGGUGGUUUAAAAUAUUUCAGAGAAGUCUUAAGGAACUUAUCAGCAUUUGCCCUCAUGGGAGCUUUUGAAAUAGUGACGGGAUGACUGAUUAUUUCUCUCCUCUGUGCUAAUAAUAAUCCUGGAACCUCAGACUGAAUUCUGAAGAAUCCUCCUGUAAGUUUUACUAAAUGCAACAGGAAUGCCUCUUCCCCUGCACACGUUUCUUUUCUUUUCCUUGUUCUCUCUGUUUUUUCGAUUUCUUUUUAAGCAGCAGAAUAUUGAUCCAGGUAUGGUGGCACAAACCUCUAGUCCUAGCUUCUCUGGAGGCUGAAACAGGAGGAUCACUUGAGCCCAGGAGUUCCAAAUCAACCUGAGUAACAUAGUGAGACCCCCAUAUCAUAAAAUACAUUGGAAUGAACCUCAAUUCUAAACCGUGGAGUAGACAGUUUUUGUCUUAAAAAUCAAAACUACUGGUUCUUUUAUAAUGCUCCUUUCUUCUGAAACAAUAGCAUAUGUCGAAUAUCCUCUUUGACAUCAGUACAGGAAGGAGUUGGCCUAGUAAAAUCUCAGAUGUGGUUAAUUUUAUGGCCAAGGUAGGUUGAAGGGCUUGGAAAUGGCCCCAGCUGUCUAGGAUUGACCUGUAAAAAAAGAAAAGGUAGGAGGAGGUGAAGAAUGGAUCCUAUUAUUGUUUUUGAUUAUUUUAAAACUUUAUUUCAAUAUUCACAGCAAGGGAAACUGAAAUGAGAUGCAGCUGUCUGCUCCUUUUGACAGGUUGCUUUGAAGUGCAUGUUCUUUGUGGUCUCCUGGGUGAUCUGAUGUCCACAAACAGAGCUUUUGCAAGUGCCUAUUGCUUCUCUCUAUGUGUGUCUGAUGACACUGCCACCUAGGACCCCAUGAAGAAGGCAAAGACACAUCAGCUUUGUCUUUAGUACUCUAGUAACUUAAUUUUUUUUUUUUAGAUAAUGUUAGAGAUGACUUGACUACUACCAGAAACUGCUUAGAAGCAAAUGAAGUCAUCAACAAAGUGGGCAAGAAAUGGUUCAUAUAGUGCUUUGAAAUUUUUGACUUAACUUGCAAGACUGCAAUUUUGGUUGAUUUUAUGUACAUAGACUCUCAUGUCUAUGUAUAAAAUUCCUGAAUAUCUAGUGUGAGGGACAACAAACAUAGACUUUUUUUUUUUUUUACUACUACUACAAAUGUGCAAAAUUAACAUGAAUUUAAAACAAAGAAUGUUCAAAGGAUUUUUUUCCUGUUUGUUUGUUUUUGUUUUUCAUUCUUUUUGGAGCUGGGGCUGAACCUGGGCCUUGCACAUUAAGGGUAAGUGCUCUACCACUGAGCUACACCUCAGCCCUUCAAAGGAAUUUCAUACUCUUAAUUGUUCUUCAUUAUUGAAGUUGAACACUGCAUAAGAAAUGAAAGUAGAGGUUAAGAAGUUUCUCAAAGUUUUCUCCAAAUACAAACAAAACAUUCUUUUAGAAUGUUACUAUUCUUAAAGUACAGCUACUUUGCCCCAGGGCAAAGACUAGGAGAUUUGGUUCCCACAGUUUCUAACUUCUGUGCUAGUCGUCUCCAGACUUCCAUGUUCCCUUCGAUAAAAUUUUUUGAGCAAUGUGUGUGUUAGUUUCUUCUAGGGUAUUUGUAUGUAUUUAUGAGUAGCUAUCAAGUCUCACUAAUCUUAAAGUGAGAUUUAACAACAUUGAUGCACAUGUGUAUUUCAAACAGUUUUAACAGUUAAAUGUUCUUAGCCAGAUUUUUCUCAAAUCUGAUGAGAUUCUCUUUGUUUUAAUUCAUGAUGUAGCUGAUGAAAGACUUGGGGGGGGGGUCAUCUCUUUUUAUUGUUUGUUUCUUGCAUUAUAAAGUGACUUCAAUCCAUGAUUUAUUUGCAGGGAUCCCUUUAAGCCAUUUUUUAAAGAUUAGUUUGUUAAAUAAAAUUUUUACACUCACCCAUCUUGACAUAGAUAGUUAUAGUUUGCUAUACAUUCCAAGUGGAAAGUAAGGAGUUUGGGAGCUACUGGAAUUUACACUCAGCUCUUGGGUCACUUCAAUAUAGACAGGAGGUGAGGCUUCAAAUGCUGCAGAUGUCACUGGAGGGCUGUAAUUGGUGUCAAUGAAGAUUGAUUUCCUUUUAAAUGAAAUGUAAAUAAAUAAAUAUAUAUAAUCAUAUUCUUUCUACAUCUUAUGAGAUCCUUGAUAGCAUUGCAGUUUUAGAAGUCACUAUUUUAAAUUAUUUCCAUAUUUCUACCUCUUCACAACCAUCUUUUCCCAGAGAACAGAAGUAAUCUCUAACAUGUCUUCCUUUUUCCUCUGACACUAGGGAUGCAAGGACUUGUGCACCAGUGCUGGUGGUUGUAUGUGAUUAUAACUCUGACCAGCUCUUCUGUUUGGGGGAAGCUGAGGGGACAUGUUAACAUUCCUGAAGCCACAGUUCCAGUUGCUGCCUACCUCUUAUGCUACCAUAGUGACCAUGUGUUGGUUAUUGAUUUUCUCACCUCCAGUGUUGCAUCCUCCAGAUAAUCAGAUGGAAGAAUAGGCUGGGGUGGGGAUGCCUUUUGAUAUGAAGGAAUGGGAGAAGAGAUGAUUAAGACAAGAGAAGGUAAGAGUGACAUUGUACUGGCUUAUUUCCCUCAGCAAGCUACUUGUGGUUUUCUGCCUGGAAAUUAAGGAAGAGGUCACUGUUUAAGAUAUUAAGUUGACUAAAGAACGCUUGAAUUAGGGAGGUUAUAGAUUUGUAGUUACUCAGAACUCCAGCAUGCAGUCUUAUUUAGGAACAGAGGGAACAUAAAGUUAAUUGACCUAGAGCUGGGUUUUAUUCCCCAUCAAGCUCAACAAGUAAAGCAGGGGAUUUGAACAAUGGAAGGGAGCAGAGGGCAUAGGUUGCAUUUUCACUUUAGAAUCAGGCCUUAUGGAAUUCAGAGGAACGGAUUUGGGAAAAAGGAUCUUGGUGGGAGUUUGGGCCAGGGUGAUGGAAGGCUAGAGCAGUGUUCAUCCAUGUAGAGAAGCAGAUUUAUGACUGCUUUUUGGAUUAUUGUCUAAGGGUUGAAAGAAUGAAUUUUGGGUAGCUUCAGUAUUUCUUUAAAAAUUAGUCUCAGCUAUUCCAAGUCUUCACUGAUUGUGUGUGUAUGUGUAUUCACAUGCGCAUGAGUGCGCACUAAUAGCAGAAUCCGCAUGGAGAAAGCACUAAUGGCCAGCCCUUGGAGUUGGGUAGAGAGUGGAAGAGGCCACUGAUCAGCUGCUGUUGGUAUGCUGAAGGCCCUGGGCAGGCUGAGGGAUAUGUGAGUGCAGUUCUGGCUUCUCACAAAUGCAGGAGUCUCAGGUUCAGGAGGAUAGUAUUUUAGGAUGUACUCAUUACAUGUGGCUCUGAGCAUGAAUUUAAAAUGGAUUACCAUAAAGACUACUUUUCUAAAAGGAUCAGCCAGGUGGGAAAAUGUGCAUGGUUAUGUUAAUUAUCCAGUCUAAAAACAGCUUGUUUCAAAAGUAACCAGCCAACGGACUAUGUUCUAGGCAAUGGUCUAGUUACAGUUUAUCUGCUUGAGAAAUGACUGCUGCAUUUCAAGGACUAGAUAGGCUUAAAGCCAUGUCUUCAUAGACUUUACAGUGACAUAUCUGAUCACAAAUUGAGUUGUUUCUCUUGGGAAAUUUCAUGACAGGAAGUUUUAUUUAAUGCUUAUAUUUUUUAAGUCUCUUAUUUGUGUGUCAGUUUUGGUUUAUAAAAGCUCUGAAUACAAA